GUGUAACAAAAGACCUAAACAGACUGUGGCUAAAUCAUUAUGACUCUGAAUUAUCUCAAUAUGAAGUCUGGAUUUCUUCCUGGAGGAUUCACAACUCAUGGAGCAUGAUUCCUAGAUGUCCGGCCAUUAGGACAGAAAACAGCGUUUGCCAAGGUGUGCAACCUGCAAAGAGGGGUGCAGAAGAUGGCUGUGCCUCUCACGUAUGCUGAUCUUGGCAAAUCUGCCAGGGAUGUCUUCACCAAGGGCUAUGGGUUUGGCUUAAUAACACUUGAUUUGAAAACAAAAUCUGAGAAUGGACUGGAAUUUACAAGCUCAGGUUCAGCCGACACCGAGACCACCAAAGUGACGGACAGUCUGGAAACCAAGUACAGAUGGACCGAAUAUGGUCUGACGUUUACGGAGAAAUGGAACACUAACAACACACUAGGCACGGAGAUUACUGUGGAAGAUCAGCUUGCACGUGGCCUGAAGCUGACCUUCAAUUCAUCCUUCUCUCCAAACACUGGGGAAAAAAAAAAAGCUAAAAUCAAGACUGGGUACAAGCGGGAACAUAUCAGCCUGGGCUGUGAUGUGGAUUUCGACAUUGCCGGGCCUUCCAUCCGGGGUGCUCUGGUGUUGGGUUAUGAGGGCUGGCUGGCUGGCUACCAGAUGAAUUUUGAGACCGCAAAGUCUCGAGUGACCCAGAGCAAUUUUGCAGUUGGCUACAAGACCGAUGAGUUCCAGCUUCACACUAAUAUAAAUGAUGGGACAGAGUUUGGUGGCUCCAUUUAUCAGAAGGUGAACAAGAAGUUGGAGACUGCUGUUAAUCUAGCCUGGACAGCGGGAAACAGUAACACUCGCUUCAGAAUAGCAGCCAAUUACCAGAUCGACCCUGACGCCUGCUUCUUGGCUAAAGUGAACAACUCCAGCCUCAUAGGGUUAGGAUAUACUCAGACCCUAAAGCCAGGUAUCAAACUGACACUGUCAGCUCUGCUGGAUGGCAAGAAUGUCAACGCUGGUGGCCACAAGCUUGGUCUAGGACUGGAGUUUCAAGCAUAAAUGAAUACUGUACAAUUGUUUAAUUUUAAACUAUUUUUCAGCAUAGCUACCUUCAGAAUUUAGUGUACCUUUUAAUGUUGUAUGUCUGAGAUGCAAGUAUCGCUAAAUAUCAUGUUAGACUUCCAGGUUAAAGGUGAUUCAGCUUUAGGGUGUUACCUUUUCAGAGGUACAGAAGAAACCCAAUUUCAAAAAAGGUCCUUUCAGCUGUAGACUUGAGGGGGAGCUUGCUGCCCCUCUAGAGAUGUCAGGUUCCUUUUUUACCUAGAAACGGCUGCAAGUGGAAGUUGAUAAUUUGCAGGCGCUUUGUAAAUUCGUAUUGAGUAAAUGAAUGAAAUUGUGACUUCCUGAGAAUUGAACCUUGGUUUCCUAUCCUGAUUGAGGAGAGGCUGUUGGAUGGUGUAUACAAACUCAUCUGAAAGGGACUUUUUUAGGCAGGGACUUUUUCCACCCCAAUCCAUCACCUCUUUUACACCAAAAGUAGUCUGCAGGGAGUGGUAGCUGUUUCUUCUGUGCCAUUUUGGGGUGGAGAAGGUGGAUGUGAUGAAGCCAAUAAUUCAGGACUUAAUUGUGUUUUUUCUCAUGUUGUGUUUUUUUUGCCCUUGCACCAGAGUAUGAAAUAGCUUCUAAGAGCUCCAGGUGCAAGCUGGGAAGAGUCUCUGUGACUGUAAUCACAUGGUGACAACACUCAGAAUCUAAACUGAACUUCUCUUGUAUUCUCGCCACUCAGUUUAUUUUUUAGCAGUUUAAUGGGUACAUUUUAGCGUCUUCCAUUUUGUGUGGAAUUAGUUCCUCCCCUUCAAAUGCUGUAAUUAACAUCACUUAAAAUAAAACUUGAAUAAAAUAUUGAAACCUUAAAAAAAAAUGAAGUCUGAUCCAGAGUUGAUGAGCAGCUCAAAAAUGUCAGCAAGGACCAGGUGCUAUUGAUCUCUCUGUUCAGCCAUAUUCACUGUGCUUGCUUUUCUUAAGCUUAUUACCUUUUGAUGGCAAGAUGGCUGCCACAGCUCCAGCCAUCAUGUCCUCACACAAGCACAUUCCUGGCAGGAAGGAGGAGGAAGGGGUAGUUUCUUCCAUUAAGGGGUAGUUUCUAACUCUUUAAUCAGGAAGCAAGAAGCCUUUCAGCAGAUUUGUCUUUAUGUCUCAUUGGCUAGAAUGGUAUCCUGACUACAGAGGAAACCGGGAAAGUGAGAAUCUAGGAAAAGCAAAUGAAAUUACUGUGUUGGCUUUAGCCUAAUCAUGAUUCAUCUCCUGGGGCUAGAACAAAACCAGGGUCUGUGGUGAGGAGAAGGGGCAGAUGGCUUUAGGGUAACACUAACAGUAUCCUCCACAGUCUUUCUAAUUUCCCGUGUCACCAUCAACCUACUGGCUCAAACUGUCUGGUCCACCCCCUGCCUAUCUGAGGAGAAAGAAUGGAACACCUCCAUUGGGGUUUGUUAUUAAAUCUGUCAAAGGGAAGAGAUGUCCUCUUUCAACAAAUCUCAUAGAAUUGCACUCUUUGCCAGGCCUGAGCAAGACAGAGAUAGCUCUCACCUCGACACAUCUCAAGACUGCUGACUCUUGA